rnacentral:miRNA from 1 species
UAACUGUUAGAGUAAGAUGAA